UACGUAGGGUGCGAGCGUUGUCCGGAUUUAUUGGGCGUAAAGGGCUCGUAGGCGGUCUGUCGCGUCGGGAGUGAAAACUCGGGGCUUAACCCCGAGCCUGCUUCCGAUACGGGCAGACUAGAGGUAUGCAGGGGAGAAUGGAAUUCCUGGUGUAGCGGUGAAAUGCGCAGAUAUCAGGAGGAACACCGGUGGCGAAGGCGGUUCUCUGGGCAUUACCUGACGCUGAGGAGCGAAAGCGUGGGGAGCGAACAGG
rnacentral:rRNA from 1 species